rnacentral:lncRNA from 1 species
CUGAGGCCCAGACCAGUUGGACCCUCCAGCAGUCGAGACACAGGCAGGACCGAAGAGUCAAAUCAACCUUGCUGAGAAGCCACGUGUGGUCACACCACAUUGUGCAAUGCAGGGAUCUGGGCUGGCCUUCACCUGGGUUUCCUAUGCGUUCCACGGCAGCGCCGGCUGCAGCCUCACGCUGCCCCAAGGUCCAGUCUGGACGAACUGACUGCUGGUUUUGCUCAGCUGUACCAUCUGUGACCAUGAAAGUCUGAGAGAACAAACAGAAUCAUAUUUAUGAGAAACACCCAUGGGUGCUUUCCAUAUAUCUUAUUUAUUAUCUCGUUGCAAAAAUGAGAUUCUUGACCUCAGUUCAGGCAUGUGGCUUGGCACUGUUUACAGCUAAAUCUUCUGCAAAAUAAACAUGCAGAUGGGGGCAGCAGCAAGCCAGAGCCACCAGCUAUGGGUCAUCAGGUGGCCCAAGGUCAUCCCCUUCACUUCGCUCCUCUGCCUGGCAGCUUAGCGCCCAGCCUUUGGCAUCACCUGGGGAUUACUUCUUCUUUGUUUUAUAAAUAGCCAAACAUGGACCUGGGGUAGCUGUUAAUCCCAGGGCUGGCCCUGAGAUUUCAGAAUCAUAUCUUCUUCAGAUUAAGCGGACAGGGCACAAAGCGUCACUGACCAAAGUUUAAAAAAUGCAGACUCCAGAGUUCCUGUUGUGUCUCAGCAGAAACAAAUCCAACUAGGAUCCAUGAGGAUGUGGGUUAAGGAUCCGGCAUUGCCUUGAGCUGUGGUGUAGGUCACAGGUGUGGCUGUGGCUGUGGCUGUGGCUGUGGCUGUGGCGGAGGCCAGCAGCUGCAGCUCUGAUUCACCCCUAGCCUGGGAAUUUCCAUAUG